GGCUCGCGGCCUAUCAGCUUGUUGGUGGGGUAACGGCCCACCAAGGCUUCGACGGGUAGCUGGUCUGAGAGGAUGUCCAGCCACACUGGGACUGAGACACGGCCCAGACUCCUACGGGAGGCAGCAGUGGGGAAUCUUGCGCAAUGGGCGAAAGCCUGACGCAGCGAUGCCGCGUGCGGGAUGAAGGCCUUCGGGUUGUAAACCGCUUUCAGCAGGGACGAAAUUGACGGUACCUGCAGAAGAAGCCCCGGCCAACUACGUGCCAGCAGCCGCGGUAAUACGUAGGGGGCGAGCGUUGUCCGGAUUUAUUGGGCGUAAAGAGCUCGUAGGCGGUUCGAUAAGUCGGAUGUGAAAUCUCCACGCUCAACGUGGAGAGGCCAUUCGAUACUGUCGUGACUCGAGUCCGGUAGGGGAGUGUGGAAUUCCCGGUGUAGCGGUGUCUGCGCUCAGAUCGGGAGGAACACCCGUCUCCCAUGCAACUGU
rnacentral:rRNA from 1 species